rnacentral:rRNA from 1 species
AUUGAACGCUGGCGGCAUGCUUUACACAUGCAAGUCGAACGGCAGCGCGGGCUUCGGCCUGGCGGCGAGUGGCGAACGGGUGAGUAAUGCAUCGGAACGUGCCCAGUAGUGGGGGAUAGCCCGGCGAAGGCCGGAUUAAUACCACAUACGACCUGAGGGUGAAAGCGGGGGACCGAAAGGCCUCGCGCUAUUGGAGCGGCCGAUGUCGGAUUAGCUAGUUGGUGGGGUAAAGGCUUACCAAGGCGACGAUCCGUAGCUGGUCUGAGAGGACGACCAGCCACACUGGGACUGAGACACGGCCCAGACUCCUACGGGAGGCAGCAGUGGGGAAUUUUGGACAAUGGGGGCAACCCUGAUCCAGCCAUGCCGCGUGCGGGAAGAAGGCCUUCGGGUUGUAAACCGCUUUUGUUCGGGAAGAAAUCCUCUGGGCUAAUACCCCGGGGGGAUGACGGUACCGGAAGAAUAAGCACCGGCUAACUACGUG